rnacentral:lncRNA from 1 species
AUACAGUAACAAGUGACAGCUUUACAUAGAUAUUGGAUUCAAGAAGGGGAAACACUUUCUUAAGAAGAAAAUGAGGAAAACGGAUUUCAGGAAAAUUCAAGACAUGUGCAGAGGCACACAGACAUGAUCGAAUGUGGGAUAUUUGGAAAAUGUUGUGCAGCUAAGGGUAGCCAAGGAACAGGACGUGGCUGUCUUACCGAUGAGUCGUAAAAUAGCUGAGACAAUUCAUCAAGUCACUGGCAUAACUUCAGUCUACAGGGACUCACAAAGCAGUGCAUCAAGAGUAAUCCAGGAGAGUGAAACCAUGAUCCAGUUAGAGUUUACUUUGUAUUUUAGAGAAAUAAUAACCGCGAAGAAGAUAUUUAGAGAGACAGACUAUACAUACAAGGAUAUUAUUAUGAAUAAACAAGAUGAACAAUUCUGAGGAUUUUCACUAAAACCUGGUGUUUGAAAUGGAAAGAAGGGAUUUUUACAAAUACUGAAGUUAUUUCUCUUGUCACGGAUAUCCGUGCUUUGUAUUUUCUGAGGGUUCCAUUUAACCCCCACCAGAUGUAGACAGAAACAAACUUGAAUGAAGUAUAUUUUGAAAAUUAUAAAUAAUAAAGGCCCUUUCAAACCGACUGCCUUUUAAGUAUGUCAGUCACUGAGGCAGCUGUGUCAUUGGCUUAAAUGAUUUAUAUGUAUUAUUUUUAUUUGCCCUUAUCCUACGUAAAUCUUUCAUAUGACGGUAAAAAUUCGAUAGACAGCAGUGCCUCUUACCUAAAUCUGCUUUCCUGGGGCAUCAGAAUCUGAAAUGAAUUUGGAACAGUGAAAUAGGAUAGAGCGGCUCUGGAGAUGCAUCUCUCCACCGUGGUGAAGGGAGGCUUUAAUGGAGGAGGCCUCACAGUAUUAAGAUGUCAACAGGAUUUGUAGCACAUUACUGAACCCUCACCAAAGCAUGAGGAUUAUUUCCAAUUUACUGUCAGUCAAGUUAAGCACAUUUGUAUAAGACAAAUUAUUCAUGAUAUACAAUUCUUAUGAUAUAAAUUUCCAAUUUUUCUUCAUUACAGCCUCACUACAGCUAAGUGAAUCAUUUCGAUUCUAACUGUUCCAUAUUUCCUUUCUUUCUUUAUCUAUAGCCUGUUCAUGCUCUUAUGAAUUUCUCUGUUUCCCUGCUCUGUGCUGUCACUUCCCAGUACUAAAGUCUUCUUUGAUGUUAAUGGGAAAUACUCCUGUUUUUCUUUUGUCCUUGCAAAAAAUGUAUGGAUCUGAUCUUUUAUCAAAAUGUCUUGCUCUCUUAUUUUCUGUCCUGAAUUUACUUCUUAAUCAAGAACUGCUUUCAUUUUCUUUUUCUCUCUAACUCCACAGGGGUUGAUUCUCUUUAUUGCUGGUGAUGAGCUGCCAUUCUGUUAAGUGUGCCCAGGAUCAAGGUACACCAUAGAUAACUGGGGCCUGUAGUUAUUUCAUCUUCUGGCUUCUGUUUGGUUAUCAAGUGAAAAUGAUUUCAUUAUUACUUUAACAUAUGAGAUACAUUGUAAACCCUUGAAAGACUAAAAUAAUUAUCCUUAUCUACAGCACCUCUAGUGGCUUUACAUUUUUAGUGCUUCAGUCUUUAGUUGCAUCUUUGCCCAUCAAUGGUAAAGAAACAUAUGCGUGUAAAGAAUAAUGACAAAAAAAGUUUAAUUAAUAUUGUAAUAAAUGCUAUCAAGAAACCAUAUAAGAAUAACACAAAAUUGAACUAGAGUUGCUAGGGAGUGUUCCGAUAAAGGCUUUGUGUCACUAACAGCAAAGCUAAAAAUAUCUGAAAAUAAGAAGACACUGAGAUCCUGUUUGGCUUUCUGUUUAGGGGACCAUUAUUCAAAGUGACAACAGUUAUGUCUUGGCUUUAAUUUCAAUGUUUCUCUCCAAUAUGUUCAAAUAUAAAGAUAUAUAAUGGCUCAUUAGACACUAUUAUGUUAUUUUUUUCAUCAUAGUUAUAUGCAUAUGCUAACUCCAUUUAACACCAUCAAGAAGAAGAAAUAUUUAUCUUUCAAAUCAAUAAGCUUUUAAAAAACAUCACAACAUUAUGUUAUAAACUUCAGCAUAGCUGUUAAAAAUAAAAUCUCUAGAUCUAGAGAAUUUAAAAUAUCACAUUAAAUUUUAUACUAUAAUAAGAAAACAAUUAUCAAGAAAGUCAUCGUUAUUCAGUUAAUGCUUUCAAUACGUAGACUUGACUAAAGAAUAAAAAAUACAUGUAAUAUUUGAUAUAUUUAAAAGGGAAAAGGUCUUGAGUUUUCUCUCUCUCUCUUUUUUUUUUUUCUUCUUUUGGCCAUGCCUGUGGCAUGAAGAAGUUCCUGGGCCAGGGAUUGAACCUGUGCCACAGAAGUGACAAUGCAAAAUCCUUAACCACUAACCUUAACUAGGGAAUGCCUGAAUUUUCUCUUUUAAAAGAUAUCUUUCAAUUACACUUAAUUAUACAUCAAAAAUGUCAAAUUACUGGAACAUGGAGCCUGUAGUAAUUUAUGAUUUUGAAAAUUUGUCACUGGUACAUACAGAUAAAUACUGCAAUAACAUACACAUCAUAAAGCCAAGUAUAUGCAGAAAAACAUAUCUUUGUAAUCUUACUGACAAAGGUAGCUACAGUAGCAAAUCACUUAGAUGGGACUCAAUAAAUAUUUGUGACUAUUUUUAAACUAUUUUGCACCUGGAUGAUGAUGAAGAACAAAAGGAACACUUGUCCUUGGAAAAAAGAAGGUUUUUUUGUUUAAUAUUAUGGUGUAUUAUCUAAUACAAUGUUUGCCAUACUACACAUCUCAACUCAGUGGAUCAUGAAAUUAAUGUAAUGGUUUGUAACUAACAAUUCAACAUGAAAUAAAUUAGACUAAAAUAGGAGAGAGUGGAAAAAACAGUAUAUUUCAAAUAUUAAAGAUAAGUAUAGUUCAUGAAAUUUCUACUUUAUUAUAUAUGCAUUUGUUACUAUUUAGCCAAUAAUAGCCAGUGUGGCCACAUCAAUCGUUUAUUUUUGGCACUCACAUGAGUUGAUCAAUACAUCCAUUCCGAUGCUGGCUUCCACUGUCAUAGGCAAUGGUAAAAUAUCUUUAAUACCCGACCUUGGAUAUUAUUUGCAUAAUUUUUACAUUUACAUGCCAAAUAUAUUUCUUACUAUUAUUUAUAAUCCAAACAAUAGAGCAGACCUGUGACUGUAAAUACGUUUUUGUAAUAAUAGAUGGUGUUAAUAGGAUUUGUUAAACAUACUGCCUUCAUAUUUGUUAAACAAACAAAUGGCAUAUUCAUAUUCAUAUUUGUUCAUAUUCAUAUUUGUUAAACAUAAACAAGUAGCAGCAAUUAAGUUACUUUUGAGAGGAAUAAAUAAGAAAUGUAUAAUAUUUUUAAAAAUCAGAUUUCCAUUCAGAACACCUAGAUGGCAUGUUCUGGAGCAUAUAAGAGGAUUAUUCUUUUUUAAUUAUUACCAUACUUUCUCUUCUUUUUCUUCAUUUUGAAGUCAACACAAAAACUUUUAUGAGCUAAAUGUUUCCGCUUUCCAGUUAUGAAUAAGAACAUAUAAACUGUAUAAACUGUGAAUAGACAGAGAUAAGUGGCCAAGAGUAUUAUCAUCCCCAGUGCUUCUGCAUUCAAAGAGAUGGCCAAUUGGUUAUAAUACAGGUCAGGAUCCUCAUGCAAAUUAUAUCCUUUGUAGAGAGGAACUGAGUAUUGCCAGCUAGUCGUGUGUUUAUGUAUAGUAGGAAACUGGGAAGUAAUGUUCUUGCCAGCAGAUAAAGCAGCCCAAUCAAUCUUGCUCUCUUUUAAUCAAAGUUUGUAUGAUAAUCCUAUAGGCUCCACAUCCUGAAAGGAAUUUUGUCCACACUAAACAUUUGAUUCUCUUUUCCAUUUUGGAAUAUUUACUCUCAGAACUUUAUUGAAAAAAAAAUAUUACCCUAUACGUGGAGGUAAAGUAGUAAGACAAUAUUUAAAAUUAAGAAUAUUAUAUGUAAGGUUAUGAAAAUUUUUUCCUAAUAAAUUAGAAUAUAUUUUAGGAGAGGACUCUAAAUUUUUCAAUGAGGUGACAACUUUAAAUUAUAAGUCAAUAUUGUUACUUAUUCCAGUGCUGUCCCUCAAAUAUCUGGGAACUCUUAGGAAAAUAAAAAGACUUCUGCAUUAUUUACCUUCGAAUAUGAAACCAAAUAGGCUCUUGCAGACCUGACAGUCUCCAAGGAAAUAUUAUUCAUUAUGUAUUUACAGUUAUUGGAUUAAAACUUAGUAAUGUUCUAUGUUCAAUUAAUAAUAAUACAGAGCAGGGUGAACUAUGAAAUACACUGUGCUUUUUUAAAAGCUCUAAUAUGGGAAAAGACAAGCAGUUUGUCCUAAUGAAUGCAUCUAAUUGGUGCACUUUAUUAUAAAACACUGGAGCAGCAUUUUUCAAGAGGCAGUUCUAUUUGUAACUGGCUGUCUUCAGCAUGUCAGGGUGUAAUAAAUGUGCUACAGACUAGAACUGCUGAUUAGCAUUUCUGGAAUCCCAGGAAGUUAGUAAAAGCUGUUUGCCAUUAAAGAAAGACCUUUUUAGCAGCCUUCAGACAGAGAGCUAUAGUCCAAUGACCUAUGAUUUUUAUUCAGUGUGAGUAACUUUAGGAAGAUUUCCGAUAAUCUAUUUGGUGAUACAUGUGAUUUAAAAGGAAGAAACAUGUUAAUGAGAAAAUUAUGAUGCUUGUUGUAGUGUAAAAAUAUUUCAGUAUUUCUCACAUAAGUAUGUUUGAAAUGUCUAAUACGAGGGAUAUCUUCACUAUAAUUAUCUGAAUCACAUUAAUUUCUUUUACAUUUCUUUUUUGUUUCAUAUUUCUCAGUAACUCACAGUCAAUAAUGGAUGUAAUCAGCCACUGAUGAAAGGAAAAAUGAGUUAAGACUAGAUUUCAGAAGAGUUGUUAGUGAUGAAAUUAGGCCAAAAAAAAGUCACUUAUGAAAUAGAGUUUGAGGAAGACUGUCUUUUUUUUUUUUUCUUAAAAGACAAUAUAAUAAAACGCAACCUUGGAGUUCCCAUUGUGACUUAGCAGGUUAAGGGCCUGAUACUGUCUUUGUGAGGAUGAGGGUUCAAUCACUGGCCUCGCUCAGUGGGUUAAGGAUCAGGUAUUGCCGCAAGCUGCAUAUAGGUCACAGAUGUAGCUCAAAUCCAGCAUUGCUGUGGCUGUGGUGUAGGCUGCAGCUUUGGCUCUGAUUUGACCCCUAGCCUGGGAAAUUCCAUAUGCCACAGGUGUGGUG